rnacentral:rRNA from 1 species
UACGUAGGGUGCAAGCGUUAAUCGGAAUUACUGGGCGUAAAGCGUGCGCAGGCGGCUCUGCAAGACAGAUGUGAAAUCCCCGGGCUCAACCUGGGAAUUGCAUUUGUGACUGCAGCGCUGGAGUGCGGCAGAGGGAGAUGGAAUUCCGCGUGUAGCAGUGAAAUGCGUAGAUAUCAGGAAGAACACCCGUGGCGAAGGCGGCUCUCUGGGACGGUACUGACGCUGAGACGCGAAAGCGUGGGGAGCGAACAGG